AUUGAACGCUGGCGGCAUGCUUUACACAUGCAAGUCGAACGGCAGCGCGGGCUUCGGCCUGGCGGCGAGUGGCGAACGGGUGAGUAAUGCAUCGGAACGUGCCCAGUCGUGGGGGAUAGCCCGGCGAAAGCCGGAUUAAUCCCGCAUACGACCUGAGGGUGAAACCGGGGGACCGAAAGGCCUCGCGCUAUUUGCGCGGCCGAUGUCGGAUUAGCUAGUUGGUGGGGUAAAGGCUUACCAAGGCGACGAUCCGUAGCUGGUCUGAGAGGACGACCAGCCACACUGGGACUGAGACACGGCCCAGACUCCUACGGGAGGCAGCAGUGGGGAAUUUUGGACAAUGGGGGCAACCCUGAUCCAGCCAUGCCGCGUGCGGGAAGAAGGCCUUCGGGUUGUAAACCGCUUUUGUUCGGGAAGAAAUUCUCUGGGCUAAUACCCCGGGGGGAUGACGGUACCGGAAGAAUAAGCACCGGCUAACUACGUG
rnacentral:rRNA from 1 species